UGAACGGCGAUUCGUGCCCCCAAUGACCGUUCGACUUGAGAAGCGGAACGUUUACGAGAGAGGGAGUUGUACGCCGGUAAAGAAAUAGUUUCCUCCACACUGAACUUCAGUUGAAUUUUCGAGAGUGAACGAGAGAGACCACGGCCAUUCUGCUAUCAAUCUUGUUGUCUAUGUGUCUUCCGAUUCAUGAAACAGCUCGUCGUGAUGUUUGGUGUUCCUAUUUCGGCCCGGAAUAAUAAUUGCGGUGCUUCCUUGUGACCUCGUGAGACCAUUUCCAGUAGAAGAGCUAGAUAUAUGAUCUGGAUGAUUGACUCAGAAUGAGUCGCAUCCUUUGGUUUUGGAACCAGCUGUCCCUGUGCUCGUUGCAAGUGUCACUCGCCAUUUUCUCUUGUUCCGUCUUAGUGCUUCAAAUUAGCGAUUAUCAAAAUCUGUUGUCCCAAAAGCGAUCCCUCCACAAGUGCUUAAGAUUACUUCAUGUGUGGAAUACCUCCUCCGAUAUUGAACACCAUUUCAAUGAGUGGAUAGAAUCGUAAUGCAGAAAUCGACCAAUUUCGCUUCUUCUACCCAUCGUUGAGAACGACUGGGGCCUAGCUUACAGUGAAGGCAAAAGCAAAAGCGGAAACCAUUCUCCUAAUUGUGGAGGGCCACUUAAGUUAAACCAUCAUCACCAAUGUCAUUGCCCUGGUUACCCAUUUCGUCUGACUUGAACCAGGGUGGGCAAGAAUUUCGCACCCGAUGGAUUGUUCAAUAGUUGCUAAUUGAUGGCUUUAUUGUUGUACUACGUAGUAGCUUCUAUCAUCACAUGUUCCACAAACCAUUCUCAAGAUGACCGAAAGUCGAAACAAGAACUCCAAACGAAGGCAUCAAUCAGCACUCUACAGUACUCGACCGUUGCAAUUGCUUCAAGACAUCGUAUAUAUCGGUUUUGACCAACAUUGUACACUCAUCUAAUUCGAUUCGAUGAGCUCAGUGACGACAUAUCAUACAAAGCUCCCCUGC